AACGAACGCUGGCGGCAGGCCUAACACAUGCAAGUCGAGCGAAGCCUUCGGGCUUAGCGGCGGACGGGUGAGUAACGCGUGGGAACGUGCCCUUUGGUACGGAAUAGCCCCGGGAAACUGGGAGUAAUACCGUAUGUGGUCGAGAGACGAAAGAUUUAUCGCCAAAGGAUCGGCCCGCGUUGGAUUAGGUAGUUGGUGGGGUAAUGGCCUACCAAGCCGACGAUCCAUAGCUGGUUUGAGAGGAUGAUCAGCCACACUGGGACUGAGACACGGCCCAGACUCCUACGGGAGGCAGCAGUGGGGAAUCUUAGACAAUGGGGGAAACCCUGAUCUAGCCAUGCCGCGUGAUCGAUGAAGGCCUUAGGGUUGUAAAGAUCUUUCAGUGGGGAAGAUAAUGACUGUACCCACAGAAGAAGCCCCGGCUAACUCCGUGCCAGCCGCCGCAGUAAAAC
rnacentral:rRNA from 1 species